rnacentral:rRNA from 1 species
GAUGAACGCUGGCGGUGUGCCUAAUACAUGCAAGUCGAGCGAACAGACGAGGAGCUUACUCCUCUGACGUUAGCGGCGGACGGGUGAGUAACACGUGGAUAACCUACCUAUAAGACUGGGAUAACUUCGGGAAACCGGAGCUAAUACCGGAUAACAUGUUGAACCGCAUGGUUCAACAGUGAAAGACGGUCUUGCUGUCACUUAUAGAUGGAUCCGCAUCGCAUUAGCUAGUUGGUAAGGUAACGGCUUACCAAGGCAACGAUGCGUAGCCGACCUGAGAGGGUGAUCGGCCACACUGGAACUGAGACACGGUCCAGACUCCUACGGGAGGCAGCAGUAGGGAAUCUUCCGCAAUGGGCGAAAGCCUGACGGAGCAACGCCGCGUGAGUGAAGAAGGUCUUCGGAUCGUAAAACUCUGUUAUUAGGGAAGAACAAAUGUGUAAGUAACUAUGCACGUCUUGACGGUACCUAAUCAGAAAGCCACGGCUAACUACGUG